rnacentral:rRNA from 1 species
AGUGGCGAACGGGUGAGUAACACGUGAGUAACCUGCCCUUAACUCUGGGAUAAGCCUGGGAAACUGGGUCUAAUACCGGAUAUGACUCCUCAUCGCAUGGUGGGGGGUGGAAAGCUUUUUGUGGUUUUGGAUGGACUCGCGGCCUAUCAGCUUGUUGGUGAGGUAAUGGCUUACCAAGGCGACGACGGGUAGCCGGCCUGAGAGGGUGACCGGCCACACUGGGACUGAGACACGGCCCAGACUCCUACGGGAGGCAGCAGUGGGGAAUAUUGCACAAUGGGCGCAAGCCUGAUGCAGCGACGCCGCGUGAGGGAUGACGGCCUUCGGGUUGUAAACCUCUUUCAGUAGGGAAGAAGCGAAAGUGACGGUACCUGCAGAAGAAGCGCCGGCUAACUACGUGCCAGCAGCCGCGGUAAUACGUAGGGCGCAAGCGUUAUCCGGAAUUAUUGGGCGUAAAGAGCUCGUAGGCGGUUUGUCGCGUCUGCCGUGAAAGUCCGGGGCUCAACUCCGGAUCUGCGGUGGGUACGGGCAGACUAGAGUGAUGUAGGGGAGACUGGAAUUCCUGGUGUAGCGGUGAAAUGCGCAGAUAUCAGGAGGAACACCGAUGGCGAAGGCAGGUCUCUGGGCAUUAACUGACGCUGAGGAGCGAAAGCAUGGGGAGCGAACAGGAUUAGAUACCCUGGUAGUCCAUGCCGUAAACGUUGGGCACUAGGUGUGGGGGACAUUCCACGUUUUCCGCGCCGUAGCUAACGCAUUAAGUGCCCCGCCUGGGGAGUAC